AUGUUAAUCUUAGAUGAGGUUUACCAACUGUCAUCUCCAGAAGCCAAAAUUUUGAUACAGAAAGUCCAUGCUAUUGUGUUUUUCAUCUUGAAAUUAACUAUUUAUACACAUUCUCUGAGCACGAUAUUCACCUUUCCGUUUCAGCUUAUCGCAGGUCAAUCAUCUAGGUUACAAACCUGUUGUCUCUGUAUUCAUAUGCGCCUAUCAGUAUCUAUGCUGCUGCCAUCUUUGCUUCUAAGUCUGAUCUUUUUAUGCAUGUGCAGUGGCUGUAAUGGAUUUCAAUUGCUGUAA
rnacentral:rRNA from 1 species